UACAGGGGGUGCAAACGUUGCUCGGAAUUAUUGGGCGUAAAGCGCACGUAGGCGGUCUGUUAUGUCGGAUGAGAAAGCCCUUGGCUCAACUGAGGAAGUGCAUCCGGAACUGGCAGGCUAGAGUACGUAAGAGGGUCGCGGAAUUCCCGGUGUAGAGGUGAAAUUCGUAGAUAUCGGGAGGAACACCGGUGGCGAAGGCGGCGACCUGGGACGAUACUGACGCUGAGGUGCGAAGGCGUGGGGAGCAAACAGG
rnacentral:rRNA from 1 species